AUCGAACGCUGGCGGCAGGCCUAACACAUGCAAGUCGAACGAGCGGCGGACGGGUGAGUAAUGUCUGGGAAACUGCCUGAUGGAGGGGGAUAACUACUGGAAACGGUAGCUACUACCGCAUACCAUCAGAUGUGCCCAGAUGGGAUUAGCUAGUUGGUGGGGUAACGGCUCACCAAGGCGACGAUCCCUAGCUGGUCUGAGAGGAUGACCAGCCACACUGGAACUGAGACACGGUCCAGACUCCUACGGGAGGCAGCAGUAGGGAAUAUUGGACAAUGGGCGAAAGUCUGAUGCAGCCAUGCCGCGUGUAUGAAGAAGGCCUUCGGGUUGUAAAGUACUUUCAGCGGGGAGGCGUUACCCGAAGAAGAAGCACCGGCUAACUCCGUGCCAGCAGCCGCGGUAAUUC
rnacentral:rRNA from 1 species